rnacentral:rRNA from 1 species
UACGAAGGGGGCUAGCGUUGUUCGGAAUCACUGGGCGUAAAGGGCGCGUAGGCGGCCGAUCAAGUCGGGGGUGAAAGCCUGUGGCUCAACCACAGAAUUGCCUUCGAUACUGUUUGGCUUGAGACCGGAAGAGGUUAGUGGAACUGCGAGUGUAGAGGUGAAAUUCGUAGAUAUUCGCAAGAACACCAGUAGCGAAGGCGGCACUCUGGGCCGGUACUGACGCUGAGGAGCGAAAGCGUGGGGAGCGAACGGG